AAAAGUAAUGAUCUCUUAAUCACGGAUUCAAAUACAUAAUCGGGUUUAGCAUCCAAAGUAGACAAUCUUAACCGUUCAACAAUAUCGAUAUCUCUACUUCAUUUUGGUAUCUAAAUAUGAGUAUAUUCCAUCCCAAAAAGAACUAUAAUCACAAAAAAUAUUUC
rnacentral:sRNA from 1 species